rnacentral:rRNA from 1 species
GACGAACGCUGGCGGCGUGCUUAACACAUGCAAGUCGAACGGAAAGGCCCUGCUUUUGUGGGGUGCUCGAGUGGCGAACGGGUGAGUAACACGUGAGUAACCUGCCCUUGACUUUGGGAUAACUUCAGGAAACUGGGGCUAAUACCGGAUAGGAGCUCCUGCUGCAGGGUGGGGGUUGGAAAGUUUCGGCGGUUGGGGAUGGACUCGCGGCUUAUCAGCUUGUUGGUGGGGUAGUGGAUUACCAAGGCUUUGACGGGUAGCCGGCCUGAGAGGGUGACCGGCCACAUUGGGACUGAGAUGCGGCCCAGACUCCUACGGGAGGCAGCGGUGGGGAAUAUUGCACAAUGGGAGGAGGCCUGAUGCAGCAACGCCGCGUGCGGGAUGACGGCCUUCGGGUUGUAAACCGCUUUCGCCUGUGACGAAGCGUGAGUGACGGUAAUGGGUAAAGAAGCACCGGCUAACUACGUG